UUCUAUAUUUCUAUGUUCUGUCUACAUAUAAAAAUUAAUUAGAAUAAUGCUAGCAGGGUACACACAAGAAGAAGAAAAGUAACUGCCCUGGAUCCCAAAGGCUAGGGUAAACCUCUUUCUUAAUGUCCAGUGACCUUUGUCUUAAGAUUUGGUGAAAUAUUU
rnacentral:snoRNA from 1 species